ACUCAAAUGAAUAGACGGGGGCCCGCACAAGCGGAGGAACAUGUGGUUUAAUUCGAUGAUACGCGAGGAACCUUACCCGGGCUCGAACGGCAGAUGAAUAAUUAGGAGACUGAUUAGUUCGCAAGAACAUUUGUCGAGGUGCUGCAUGGUUGUCGUCAGCUCGUGCCGUGAGGUGUCGGCUUAAGUGCCAUAACGAGCGCAACCCUUACCGUUAGUUACCAUCAGGUUAUGCUGGGGACUCUAGCGGGACUGCCACCGUAAGGUGUGAGGAAGGUGGGGAUGACGUCAAAUCAGCACGGCCCUUACGUCCGGGGCUACACACGUGUUACAAUGGGAGGUACAAAGGGCAGCUACCUGGCAACAGGAUGCCAAUCUCUAAAACCUCUCCCAGUUCGGAUCGGAGUCUGCAACCCGACUCCGUGAAGCUGGAUUCGCUAGUAAUCGCGCAUCAGCCAUGGCGCGGUGAAUACGUUCCCGGGCCUUGUACACACCGCCCGU
rnacentral:rRNA from 1 species